UACGUAGGGGGCUAGCGUUGUCCGGAAUCAUUGGGCGUAAAGCGCGUGUAGGCGGUCCGGUAAGUCCGCUGUGAAAGUCGGGGGCUCAACCCUCGAAUGCCGGUGGAUACUGUCGGGCUAGAGUGCGGAAGAGGCGAGUGGAAUUCCUAGUGUAGAGGUGAAAUUCGUAGAUAUUAGGAAGAACACCAGUGGCGAAGGCGGCUCACUGGACCCGGUACUGACGCUGAGGCGCGAAAGCGUGGGGAGCAAACAGG
rnacentral:rRNA from 1 species